CCUACGGGUGGCAGCAGUGGGGAAUAUUGCACAAUGGGGGAAACCCUGAUGCAGCGACGCCGCGUGAGUGAAGAAGUAUUUCGGUAUGUAAAGCUCUAUCAGCAGGGAAGAAAAAAGACGGUACCUGACUAAGAAGCCCCGGCUAACUACGUGCCAGCAGCCGCGGUAAUACGUAUGGGGCAAGCGUUAUCCGGAUUUACUGGGUGUAAAGGGAGCGUAGGCGGCAGGGCAAGCCUGAUGUGAAAGCCCGGGGCUCAACCCCGGGACUGCAGGGGAAACUGCCCGGCUGGAGUGCCGGAGGGGCAGGCGGAAUGCGUGGUGUAGCGGUGAAAUGCGUAGAUAUCAGGAGGAA
rnacentral:rRNA from 1 species